AAAGAUCUCCAAGCUAAAUUAAACUUCAGAACUUAAAUGAUUUAUUUCAGGACUUUACUAAUACUGAAAAUAACAAAAUGUGAGUGUGCACAAGCGUGCUUAUGUAUGCAUGCAUGUGUGUGUGUGUGUGUGUGUGUGUGUGUGUGUUUCCACAGGACUCCCAUAGAUAUUCGUGUCACUGGUCGUCAUCAGCAGCGAUUUUUUCAUGGCAGCACCACCCAGCAAGCAAAGGAGCCCCCAGAUUGAAGGAGGAAGCUUAUCAGGACAAACAGAAUAGUGACUUCUCAUCUGCUCACCUGCAAUGCUCCUGGCCCAGUGGCUCAUCCUUUCAAGUGGGCUUCAGAAGAAAGACUGGGAGCUCCUACCCACCUGCCCCAGGGCACCAGGAAUGUCACAGUUAUGCUCCGGGGGGAAACUGUUACAGACUGGACAUGACGGACCACUCGUGAAUUCUACUCACUGACUCUUACUGACGAAUACAGAAAACCUAGAGGAGAUGGUGGCAGAAUCUUCUCAUGCCCCUGCUGGGAAAAGACCUCAGUGUUGUGGGAGUUCUUUGCCUUACGUGGAGACUUCUGGUAAGCAGAAGGCCUUGAGAGUGUUACACAGUGGCCAUUAUUCCUCUGCCAGGGCCAUGAGGACAUUGUCCUGAGAGUCUCACCAUAAGAAUCUGAGGGCGGUCCUGGGGGGGGGUGGCGGGGUGCUCAACCUGAGACAAAGUCCCCUGACUCAUGAUAGCGGAGCAGGGACCCCCAGGAUUUUCUCACCCUCAUGUUGAUCUGUACUUGGCUUCCAGGAGUUUGUCAAUAAUUACUAGUUAGGUAAGUGUCUCUAUGAACUUAUGGCUCUAAGGACUUCUGGUCCAGGUGAGUAAGUCUAAGAUGCUGUCCCUUUUCCUGAUAUGUUUAACCCUGGAGAUCUCUGGGUGGAG